UUGAGAACGUUUUAAUAAGCUUAAAGUUUAUACUAAUUUAAUUGACUAUAACUAAGUAUUUAGUGUGUAUAUAUAUAUGUAUAUAUGUACAUGUGUAUUAACAUAAAUGAAUAAAUAGUAUAUAGGGGUUACUGUAACAAUUUCUUUUUAAAGGAGGCUCAAAAGCAUUUUUCUUCUCUAAAAAAAAAAUUGAUUUGGGUCCUUGAGCAUAUCCUCCUUGAACUUUUGUUUUCUACCGCCGCUAGACGUUAAGCUCCGGCUAAAGGAACCUUGCAGCGUUGCCAACACCGUGUCGUCUUCUCUCUCUCCGCUUGAAGCCGUCGUUAACAUCGAGGAAGAAGGAAAGAAGCCGCCCUCCGCUGCCAACGUUGAAUCACCUCGUUGCCGUCAUUCUUCGGCCAAUCCAAUAUCGAAAAUAGCUUCCCCGCCCCACUAAAACCCAGACCUGGGCAGUUACAGCCUCUGAUGUUGUUGCUGGACAGGUGAUUGGAGUAGGUGUGGUUUCGCUGGAAUUGUUCUGUAUUUGGCGACUUUGGUGGACUUCCGGGUCAUUUGGAGAAGAUAAUAACAUAUCUAGACUCCCAACAACUUGAUCAACAAUUUGGCAUCCUCGCACCUUCGUCGAAAAAAUUUCGGCGAAAGGACUCCGGUGACCUCGUGACGCGUGCUGGCGGGCAGAAAAUUCGUCUCGGUUUCUCCAUUUAUCAGAUGCCCUGUCGAUCCAGCCAGCUCAACUCGAGGCGUAGGAGCAGUUACUAGAGAUUCAACAUAACUAGUCAGGAAGAAUGAUGCAGCUUUGGUGGUCCGACUCCUGUCAAAUAAUUGAUAAAUAUUAAAAGUGUUUCUAGUAGAUUGUGGAUCUGUUAUACUAGGGGUAAACGUUUGUAUUUUAGUGGAGGUUCUGCUAAAUUUUCGAUAGAAUUUCGGAGUCGAAAUUUUUAGACAGUCAAUUCUAGGAGUCUAGGUCUAGGGUUGUUUACUAGAUAUUUUAUUUUAUUGGUUGUGUUAUUCCCAUAAAUACAUAUCCCGUCGAUCCAGCUCCACCCGAGGCAUAUGAGCAAUUAGUGAAGAUUCGAUAGAAUUGUGAUAGCUAGGUUCUCCGCCUUCUUUCUUUGGACAAUCUGACUUCCUUCUCCUUCGGGCUUAUUGUAAUUAAUUUUCUUUUUUUUACAUUUCGAAUUAUUUAAAAAUCUACACUUUCUGCAAUAGUGUUUUGAAACUUUAAUAUUUUAUUUGGCAUGUUAAAUCUAUAGGAAAAUAUUAAGCGAUCAU